CGCGCAGGCGGUUUGGUAAGUCAGAUGUGAAAGCCCAUGGCUCAACCAUGGAAGUGCAUUUGAAACUGCUAGACUUGAGUAUCAGAGGGGAAAGUGGAAUUCCCGGUGUAGAGGUGAAAUUCGUAGAUAUCGGGAGGAAUACCGGUGGCGAAGGCGACUUUCUGGCUGAAUACUGACGCUGAGGCGCGAAAGCGUGGGGAGCAAACA
rnacentral:rRNA from 1 species